rnacentral:lncRNA from 1 species
AGGAGUAAGAUCUUGGUGACUUAGGUCCCGGUUACGGUCUCAUGGACGAGCCGUGAACCCCUUGGGUGUUUCCGCGAGAACUAGCCAGUCUUCGCUAAGGUGGGUAAUGGCUUUGUUAGGAUCCGUACCGUCACUAAGGUGAUCGUGCUGCGGUACCCUACUUGUGGGAAAAGUGUACACCCUCUGCAGAGUUAAAACCUAUCCGGGUAGCCGUGUCCACGGCAUUGGACGAGUUACGGCUU